ensembl:lncRNA
ACAACAUCAAGAGCAGGAAAAUGGACUCAUUAGGGAGGCAGGCAGUCAUUACCACUCACACUGUACUUCCAGGGAGACACCGAUUAUGAGAAGAGAAACUCAGCGCUGGGGAAGAAGUCACACAAAAAGAAGUGUUAAGGAUUGCCCUUUGAGACACUGAAGGCUAAAGUGAUCCUACAAUGAGAACUUACCAUCAUUUUGCUAAUGAUGAGCCUGAAGAUCAGGGAUGUAAAAGACUGCCUGAAGUUACAUUUAGAGACUGAAAUCACUGCACCUUAAAAACAAAAGAUUGAGCUGCACUGCAUUCCUGGCUGCACCCUCAGCAUAUAGAGUCCCAGGAUAGGAGUCAUAUUGGAGCUGUAGCUGCUGGCCUACACCACAGCCACAGCAACACCAGAUCCAAGCCCCAUCUGCAACCUAUACCCACAGCUCACAGCAAUUUGGGACCCUUCCUGCACCCUCAUGGAUACUAGUCAGAUUCGUUUCUGCUGAGCCACCAUGGGAACUCCAGCAUAGCAUUCUUGGUACUGCCUCUUGAUCCACAAAAACUAAAGUAUUUAUGAUCUGGCUUUGUAUAGAAGUUUGCUGACUCCUGUCCUAGAUGAAGGACCUCAAGUUCAGAAAAGCUGAAUCGAUAUUCCCAAGGUGUUGGUUAGGUCCAUUUCAUCUCCUUGAGUUAGUAUAUUCUAAUACUGUAUGGGCUCUGGAGUGUCUGGUUUGAAUCCUAACUCUACCUUUUACUAUCCCAUUUAACUUAAACAAGUUAUUUCACUUCAUUGUCUCCGUUUUCUUAUCUGUAAUGUGGUGUUGUUAUGAGCAUUAAAUAAGAUAAUAUGUAUGAAAUAAUUACAGUACUACCUUGCACAUGGUUAGUGCUCAAUAAUUGUUACUUAUUGUUAUAAUCAGUGUCAAUAUGUUUAAUUAGUAGGAUACCCUAAAGAGAAGGGAGUAGUUCAUAUCCUGUCUCAGAGCUGGGAAAAACUUGGCAUUUAUUCACAUUCUCAUUUUCUCAGCAUGAUUUGUUCAUCCUUAUUAAACAAUAGGUCCAUGAGUUAAUCCAAAAAAUCGUGCACUUAUAAAAUAUAAAACAUGCAUGCAAAUUUAUAAUAUUGAUAGGGAAACUUAAACACAGAGCCACUUAAAUGACAGCCACACAGCACACCUGCCCUGAGUCCAACAGAUGAGAGAGAAACUGUUUUGUUCUCUCAUCUUGAAUAUCCUAAGGACAGUUUCACCAUAUUUAAGACUAUUUGAACUGACUACAUUCCUUUCAAUGAUGGGGCAGAGUCAGCCACUAUUUGCUAUUUUUUUAAAUAAUCACAUUUAAUUGUAUUCUCUGCAAUGGUGAAAUGUUGUAUUUUUGUUCAUUCUCUUCUAUGCUAUUCACAUAAAACAUUAUUUGCCCAGAUUAUUGAUGCUCUUCAUCUACUGCUUAGACUACAAAGCCAUGAUGCUGAACUAGAUGAAAUCCAGUGAGAUAAAUGCCCUAUGUAUUAGAUCAUUUAGUUUUUACUGUAUUAGUCCUCUAGACUAUGGCAGUUCUUGUUAACUAUUCUUUUCAUGCAAAUAAAAAAUGAAGACAGUUUUAUUCCUCCCCAAGAGUCUAAAUGAAAGAAGGCACUAUGUUUUUGCUUUAAUAAAUCUAAAAUUUUGAUUUCUAAAACAGACCCACUGUGCAGUUGACAAUUUGUGGGGAAAUAUUUGUUGUAGGAUAUAGGUUAUGCCUUGGAUUUGAAGAAGAAUCACAACAAAAGGACCAACAAACCUUUACUUAUUAAAAUGAUAAGAAUUG